rnacentral:rRNA from 2 species
GACGAACCGAGCGAACGUUGUUCGGAAUCACUGGGCUUAAAGGGCGCGUAGGCGGGCUGUCAAGUCUGGGGUGAAAUCCCGCGGCUCAACCGUGGAACUGCCUCAGAUACUGACGGUCUCGAGGGAGGUAGGGGCGAGCGGAACUGAUGGUGGAGCGGUGAAAUGCGUUGAUAUCAUCAGGAACUCCGGUGGCGAAGGCGGCUCGCUGGACCUCUUCUGACGCUGAGGCGCGAAAGCCAGGGGAGCAAACGGG